AUGCUCAUUGUUACAUCCGUAGUGUUGUAGUGUGUGUGUUUUUUUCCUGUUUGGUAUUGUGAUAUUGAGUAUCUACUGCAACACUAAAUUCAAUAUGCAGGGAAACAGUCGCUCUGGGAACGUCAUGCUGUUGAUAUUUUGGAUCUCGUGCUUCCAAUCUCGUGUUUUUCCACUUAACUUCAGCAGUGCAUUGACACAGAGAGAUGAGCUUAUUCAGGACCACACCAACUUGGAGAGUUGCUGUGAGACACAGAGGCAUCAUUUGAUGUUUCAAUCUCCUAUACAGACUUCUUAUUAGCAUUCUGUGAUGGGCUAUUACUCCACCCACACACACACACACACACACACACUCAGUUUAGUUGGAAAGGAGGGAUACUGCGUCAGUGACGCAAAGGUGUAAAAUCUUGUUUGAACAUUUCAUCUCAAAAAGGUGAAAAGAUCUUUUGAAGCGGUAUGAAUGUGUUGAUGAAGGUCACUGAGUGCAUGUGUGUGUGUGUGUGUGUGAGUGUGUGUGUGUGUGUGUUUGCAGAGAGAAACUAACAUUUACACAAGCAGAUAGUCAAUCACCAUUCAUAACUUGUAUAAUGUUUCGACUGUUCUGAGUCUGUCAGUGGGUCAGCGUAGGUCACUAGUUGUAGUUUGAUUGAUCACACUGUUUAUUUACUGUAGAACUGAUCAAUAUCUGUCCUGUCUAUGAGAACCUGAAUCUGAACUAAUGCUUAAACAGUACUAUGGCUUGUCAUGUUAUUAGCAUUACUGGCCUGAUUUAAUAAAGAGUUGUAAUGUCGACAUGUUUCAGAGUGCAUGUUACCUAAAAAGGAGACAGUGUUUUUACAGUGAUAUCAAUUUCUAACAAAGCUUUUGGCUUCAAAAUGGUAAAAUAUAAACAACUAGUCUGACUUACGCGGCGUCAACAUGAGCCAGGUAAUAAAACAGAUGUACAUUUCAUCUCUGUGCAUUGGAUUCAUCAUAGGUCCAGGACAUGAUAAGCUUAGUUAAGACUAGAAGGAGGGCUAACCUGCUGGUAUAAGAUAAAAAAAUACCCCCCCC